GCAGAGCACUCCUACGGGAGGCAGCAGUGGGGAAUAUUGCACAAUGGGGGAAACCCUGAUGCAGCCAUGCCGCGUGUGUGAAGAAGGCCUUCGGGUUGUAAAGCACUUUCAGUAGGGAGGAAGGUAGUGUAGUUAACACCUGCAUUAUUUGACGUUACCUACAGAAGAAGCACCGGCUAACUCCGUGCCAGCAGCCGCGGUAAUACGGAGGGUGCGAGCGUUAAUCGGAAUUACUGGGCGUAAAGCGCAUGCAGGCGGCCUGUUAAGUCAGAUGUGAAAGCCCCGGGGCUUAACCUCGGAAUUGCAUUUGAAACUGGCAGGCUAGAGUCUUGUAGAGGGGGUAGAAUUUCAGGUGUAGCGGUGAAAUGCGUAGAGAUCUGAAGGAAUACCAGUGGCGAAGGCGGCCCCCUGGACAAAGACUGACGCUCAGAUGCGAAAGCGUGGGGAGCAAACAGGAUUAGAUACCCCUGGUAG
rnacentral:rRNA from 1 species